AGAAGUAGAAAAGGUUUGAAAGAUCUAAUUCAACUUUUAAAGCAAACGGUGGGCAUGGUAUGCUAAAAAGGCUCGAGGAACAAGCUACUAUCUUUUUCGUGAGUUCCUCGGGCAAUGACAAAAGCACAUGCACAAUAAAUAAAGUCAAUAGCGACGCUAGGUUACCCUAGCGGUCUAUUGACUUUUUUAUGGAUUAGAAGAGUCAUUUUUCUCGUUUUCUUCUGUUUUUUUAGAAAUUGUUUUAUGAC
rnacentral:sRNA from 1 species